AAAAUAACCGUUGUGGGAAGUCAAAAGGGUUGCGUCGGUGUAGUGGCGCUUAAUAUUACAACUUCUUCGCUCUUCCACUCUUCACUCGUCCACCGGAGAGUGAAGCACCCCCUAUACACUCGCAAUCAUCUCUAUAAUCCAAAGAAAUUAACAAGAUCGCCAUAAGUUUUCAUUGUUCUCCCAUUCAUUCGUUCUUCAAUCAUCCCGCGGCUCUCCAAACACCGCCGGAGACAUGUUAGAGGGUUUUACUUGGAGUGGACUCUUUCACACCGCCGUAUCUCCUUUUUUCUAGCGACACCAGUGUUUCCUUUUUCUUUCAUUCUCGGGCUUUUAAGAAUCCUCUGCUUUCCCCUCUUCGUCUCUUAGUGUAUUUCAUUGACGUCUGGUUGCGAUGUAAUUUUGGUCCAUCAUCCAUCAACAAAAAAGAAUACAGAUCUUUCUCAUCUGAUCUCCAGGAUUCUAGAGAUUGAAUCUUAAUCAAAUGAGGAUACUUCCAAGAGGCGAUGUGAUUUUUUUUGUGGGCCUGUUUAUAUCAUCGACUCUCCUUCUAUUUCUGAGUUAGGUCAAAAAAAUGUCUCCUGUUAUUUUGGUUCAUUGAAAAAACUGUCUAAAAUUUUCUAUUAUAAGGUUACAAAGAAGAGGUCCAUCUAAGAGAUGCAUAGUUUAUAUAAUUUUUUCUAUUUAGAGGUUCACAACAUUGAUUACAUGUUAUAAUGCAUUCCUAUUAAUUAAGUAACAAAUGUUCCCUUUUGGGGACAAAUCUUCUGCUGCAUCUCCAUUGAAGUUAGUUCCUGACAUUGGUACCUUACAUUUACAAGAUAAUUUUGUGUCUACAUGUCUGUCUGUAUUAUACUUUCUUCACUGAAAUUGUAUAACAUUGCAAUAGGGAUCCUGUAUUGGACCAUAUAUGAUGUACUGGUAAUGCUAUCUCUUCCAUCAGCAACUGGGGUUAAUAAGGUUGUAUCAUUUUCAAAACUUUAAUACAAUUUAGUGCAACUUCAAAUCCUUUUUUGUUGAUUCACAAGUUUGUGUUCGACUUAAACAUCUCCAAUAACAUGAGCUUCUUUGAUUUGAGUUCACACUUUAUGAUUUCUGCCAUUUUGAUUACUGAUUUAUUUGCCACAUGAAUUGCUGCUUUUUAGGGAAAUGACAACCCUCGCCCUUUUCGUCCACCAAAACUAGAUAAUUUGUUAUACAAGUGAACAACAAAGGUGCUUUCCCAUGGAAACCUGAUUGGCACACAUCACAUAUAUGAAAGGACAACUUGGAUGACAUGGCAGAAUUGAGACCUAUUGUGUGAUUAUAUAACGAAGUAUAUGAUAUGACGGUGAAGUCAUAUCUCAUCUGAUGGUCUGAGAGAAACUAGGGCAAUACUGGAUCAGUCAAGAGCAACCAGAAAUCUGGAAGAAAAAAUGAACAUUUACAAUGAUGCCAUGAUAGAUGCUCAUUGGCUGCACACAUAGUAGAAACAACAUCCGAACAGGGGACAUCAAUUAGUGUUCAUUCUGCUUCAGAAGCAAACAAGUUUCCAAAGGGGGACAUACUUAUAAUAUGGCUCCUGAAAUUCUUGUCGCUACAAGCUCUUCGAAGUUCAUGCUUUCUUUCUUGGAAUGGCUGUUGAUCAAAGGGAUAGAAGAUAUGCAGGUGUUUUUCUCCUUUGUGAUAAUGUCCAUGUUUCAUGGACAAGGUUUGUCACUUCUCUCUUCUUUAUUUUUUUUUCUAUAAAAUCCGAUUUGGUGUGUAUGGUGUGUUUAGAUGGCUUUGUUGUAGUGAAAUCGAUUUUAAUCUUAUUGUAAUAUUGGCUAACAACAACAUUGACAUAUCAUGGUUAGUUGUUAGGAUCUAAUCUGCCACAUUUACUAACAAAUUCUAUUUUUUUGUGGCUUUUUGAUAGAACAACUGGACCAGUUGAGAGCACCUAUAGAUCUAAAAAAAUAAAAAAACUAAUUGACUCACCAUAUAAAAUUCCUAAUAGGCAUUAUACUUUCUUGACUUUUGAUACCAACUAUGUCAUCAUACUUUCAAUAGUUUCUUCCUAUUAAGAUGUUCUACUUUAAUUUUAGCUUUAUACCUUUAGUUAAGAAUUAACCUAUCGAACCAGAAGUUCCCUUGCAUUACUCUGAGAUUAAUUGCUAGUCUUAUUUUCAAUUCCUCUGACAAACUCCCUUCAUUGCUCUGCAACAUGAAAAGGUUUUAGAAAUCAGAUAAAGAACUUAUGGUUGAGAAAAGAAAAAGAAGAUGCCACUGAGAAUCGUAUGUUUUUACCCUUAACACUAUAAAACACUUGAUGCUUUUUAUGUUCUUAUUUAGUUUUUCUGUAAAUGUUUAAAGGUACAGUUUUAGUUCCAUCGAACCCAAAUAAGGCUGUUGUGUUGGGCGAUUAUGCCUUCAUGGAAAUGAUAUGUACUUUUAGCUAUGAGUCCUUGUUUGAGGUUUGUAACAUUUUUUUAACUUGUUUCAAGUAAAAUGACAAAAAAAUUGGGACCAAAGUUGCAAAAAUCAGCUAUAUUUGGUGACCAAAAUAAGUCACUUUACUUAGAACAGGGACCGAAAAUGGUACAAGAACCUUAUUUCAUGGACUAAAAGAUUAUGUUACUCUUGUUUCUAAGUUUGUGUGCUUUAUAUUAUAUUCUUUUGAGAAACUCAUGUUUGAUUUCAUGUGUAAACACCGUUGGUCACUACAGUUUUAUCUUUCAAGAUUUGAAGUGCAUUUUAUCACCAGAUAUCUACACUGAUUCACUUAAUUCCAAAAUGUUUUGAAUUCAUGGUUCAUUAAUAAUGCAGAUAGAUGCUCAUAGAUCACCAUUGGCAUUAAUUAGGGUUCAUUUUGAGAAACAACAUACACACAAAUUUAUGUUCUUUGGUUCUUUAAAUGCAUUUCAUUCCAUUUGUUUAUACUAAUUUCCAACUUUUUGAUCAUAUUCAGUCUUAUAGUUUCCAAAGGGAAAAUAUGGGCCAUAUGUAUGUGGCUUCCUGAAGUUCUUGUAGCUACAAGCUCUUCAGGCUCUGUUCAUCUUUUCUUUCUUGGAAUGGCUAUUGUUACUGUAAAUCCAUGAUUUUCUUUUUUUUGGAAAAACGUAUGUUGAGUCCCUGUAGUAUUGAGUAAAGCACUUAUGGCCACCAUAAUAAUAUAAUCUUAUUGAUUAUCAAGGGUGAAUUUGUCCAAAAAUAUCAAUUUUGGCUAGAAAGUUGGAGUGAUGUGAAAACAUUGUCAAAAUUCGUAUGAUUUUCAAAAUUUAUCAUUUUCUCUUUGAGUUCAAACUUCAUAUAAGAUUUACUCAUUAUUUUCUUCUGUCUUCCUUUACAUCCAAGCUUAGUAGUGUCAAUGUAUUUUUUUUUUGGUUUUAACUGUAACCCUGGCCAUCCAGAAGCUGUUGCAAUUUGGUGGUGUGAGUUUUGUACUAUAAACAUGAUGAUAUUUUUUCUGCAAAAUGUGAUCUUUUUUAUUACAAUUUUUUAUUUAUUAUUCGUUCAAUCCUACUAAUUGAAGAACGAUGCUUCUUAAGAUAACAAAUAAACGGCCAAAGGAAGCAAGUAAAUAGAAAAUUGUGGCUUCAAAUUUUGAAUUAGGGCAUAAACAUCUUCACUUAACCUUGCAAAAAGUAAAGAUGACAUUUGAAGUGAGUGGUAAGUACAUUUCUGUUUUUCCAAAUUGCCCUUUUUAUGGUAAAAAAUCGUCCUUAUUCUCUUUUGCUACCCUAAAACGCCACAACAUCAACAUGUUCAACAUUUAGUUCAAAAAUGAGAAUUGUAAAAACAAAAAUUUGUUUGAUAAGUAUGAAGAAGAUGACAAAGAUUUGAAAAAGAUUGGUUUUUGUUAAACGUUAUAAUUUCAGUCUUAUUGAGUGUAGUGCUUUAUUUAUCUUUGUCAUGUCUGGUGUGUUUAGAUGGUUUUGUUUCAAAGAAAUCUAUUUGUGUGUAUAUGAUCCAUUGCUUUCUAUAAAGUAUAAAAUAUGGCCUAAUGUUUAUUGUGUUUCCAGUUUCUCUUCAAUUGCUUUGCAUUUACUAGUCAAAAUCUUGGAUCUAGUCAUGGUUUGAAUGUGUUAUGUUUGUUUACUACAUUUUAAUCUUAUGUUAAUAUUAGCUAACAACAACAUUGCCCUCAUAGGUUGUUAUUAGGCUCACAUAAUCUGCCACAUUUAUGUAUUUCAAUUAUUAUCAUAGAAGAGUAACUUAACUGGAGCAGUUGAGAGCACCUACAAAUCUGGAAUAAAGCUAAAAAUGACUGACCAUUAUAUGAUGCGGAUACCAAGGUAAGAAACCAAACCUUACUUUGUUGAUUACUUAAUAAUAUACAUACAAAAUGUCUGUCUGAUAGGCUAUGGUUGGUUUCUUCACUUUUGUUUUAUACUUUCAAUAGUUUCUUCCUAUUAAGAUAUUCUACUUGACUUUAAGCAUUAUACCUUUAGUUAUAGCAUUACUUUUUCGACAAAUAACCUAUUAAGAAUAUCUACUUUUUAUCUUUUUAUUCCCUUCUAAAGAGCAUACGAAAGUUAUUGUAUUUUGAUGAUCUAACCAUGUAUAACAUUACACUUUUAAAUAUAACAUUAUACUUUUGAAAUUCAACAUUUUACUUUCAUUUGUUUUUUCUUAUUAAGACUUCUAUUUUGUUUUUUAAGUUUUAAGACUCUUACUCUCAAAAUUCAGUCGAUUAUGGCAUUAUGGUCUCAUCGAUUAUGGCAUUAUGGUCUCAUGUAUAUCAUUAUCAUUACACUUUCAAAAUCUUUUUUAUUAAGAUAUUGUACUUUUAAAAUAUUACCCUUUCUGAUUUUUGUUACUAUUUAUUGCAUUAUACAUUUUUCUUAUUAGGACAUUAAAUUUAUUAUUAUUUUUUUCUAUUAAGACUAUAAAUAUUCCUAUAUAUGCAUUAUUAUAACAUUAUACCUUCACUUUAUAGCAUUUUUUUUUAUAUAUAAACUAUCUAUGCAUUUAACUUUAAAAAAUUAAACUUCAUUUGUUUUGUUUUCAAUUAUUAUAUUAUAUUUUUAGUUGUAGCUUUUUACUCUCAUAAUCUAACCUGUUAAGACAUUAUAUUGGAGGUAUGAAUAGUUGUACCGACUACAUAAGAACAUGUAUCAGGUAUUUGAUACAUUGUACUUCUAUCUUUUGUUAUUGUACUUUCAAAAUCUAACUUAUUAGAAUACGCUUUUAAUUGGUUUUAAUAUUUAACUGUAUGGAACAUUAUAUCUUCAAUUAUAUAUUUUUACUUUCAAAAACUAACUAAUUAAGAUAUUGUAAUCUAAAUUGGUUUUAUUUUUCUUUUCUAAAUAUGUAUUUAUGAAAACAUUGUCCUCUCUAUACCUUUUCUAAUUAAAACUUUAUACUUUUAAAAUCGAACCAUAUGCAACAUUUUUUUUUCUAUUUUUAAUAUAUUAUUCAUUCAAAGUCCAACUUCUUAAGACAUGCUUUUUUUUUGUAAUUGCAGUUUAAAAAUGUCAACUUAUACUAAUUGUGGCAUAUUAUAUACUUACAAAAUGUAACCAUGUAUGGCAUUAAACUCUAGACAAAACUGCAAAAAUGGUCCCUGUGGUAUGCAUAUUUUUCGAGGUUUGGUCCAAACCUCAACUUUUUUGAAUAUAAGAGGUCCAUCUAAGAGAUGCAGAUGCAUAGGUUGUAUAAAUUAAUUUUUCUAUUCAGAGGUUCACAACAUUGAUUACAUGUUAUAAUGUUUUCCUAUUAAGUAACAGAUAUUCCCUUUUGGUGAUAGAUCUUCUGCUGCAUCUCCAUUGAAGUUAGUUCCUGACAUUGGUACCUUACAGUUAGUUGCAACAUCAUUUUGUGUCUACAUGUCUGUCUGUAUUAUACUUUCUUCACUGAAAUUGUAUAACAUUGCAACAGGGAUCCUGUAUUGGACUUUAUAUACAUACAUCUCUGUCCUUUUAUAUGAUGAUACCCUUACCCUGGUUUGUCCCCCAUUAAUUAGUGCAACUUCAAAUCCUUAUGUUGAUUCACAAGUUUGUAUUACUUAAACAUCUCCAAUAACAUGAGCUUCUUUGAUUUGAGUUCAUACUUUAUGAUUUCUGCCAUUUUGAUUACUGAUUUAUUUGCCAUAUGAUUUGCUGCUUUUUAGGGAAAUGACAACCAUCGCCCUUUUCAUCAUGGUUGUCAUUUACUUAAUGUAUUUUCAUCCAUGGAAACCUGAUUCGCACGCAUCACAAAUAUGCUAUUUCCAGAUCAAUUUCAUGAUAAUGAUUUCUUUAUUGUAGUUGAUUACUUCAUGACAAAACUGUUGUUUCUUGUUUACUUAAUGUGGGACAACUUUUCACUGUAUUUUCAUUCAUGUAGGACAACUUGGAUGACAUGGCAGAAUUGAGACCUGUUGUGUGAUUAUAUAACAAAGUAUAUGAUAUGAUGGUGAAGUCAUAUCUCAUCUGAUGGUCUGAGAGAAACUAGAGCAAUACUGGAGCAGUCAAGAGCAACCAGAAAUCUGGAAGAAGAAAAAAAAAAGGCUAAAUGAACAUUUUCAAUGAUGCCAUGGAAUCUCUUCAUCCAGCUGUGAUGCUUCAACAAGCAUCUUAUUGUUACCUUUUAGAAAGUAUGGAUUUCGUCUCAUUCUUUUUGGUGGUGAUCUGUACUAGAAAGAAAUGUGAUCAGGUGUUGCAAUUUUUGUCAAUACUUUAAUAGAUAAUGUUGUGUUACUUAAUAAAUAGUUUUCAUUAUCGAAUAUCAGUAUUUAAGUAACAAUAUAUGAAUGAUUUGUCUAUACACUGAUGCACUUAAUUCCAAAAUAUUUUCAAUUCAUGGUUCAUUAAUAAUGCUCAAAGAUCAUUCCAUUUGUUUAUACUAAUUUCCAACCUUUUGAUCAUUCUCAGUCUUAUGGUUUCCAAAGAGGGACAUACUUAUUAUCAUAUGACUCCUGAAAUUCUUGUAGCUACAAGCUCUUCCGGCUCUGUUCAUGCUUUAUUUAGGGACCAAAAGAUUAUAUUUGUACUUAAUUUACUUCAUUUUUUUGGAGUUACACAUAAAAUAGUGUUGCACACAUAGUAGCAACAACAUCGGAACAGGGGACAUAAUUUAAUUAUGGUUCAUUCUAUUUCAGAAGCAACCAAGUCUAAUAGUUUUCAAAGGGAGACGUACUUAUCGUAUGGGGCUUCCUAAAAUUCUUGUAGCUACAAGCUCUUCAAGCACUGUUUGUGAAUUCUUUGUUGGAAUGCCUAUUGAUCAAAGGCUUUUGUUACUGUAAAUCCAUGAUUUUUUUCUUUCUUGGAAAAUUGAACCAAAUGGAGUAUUCUUUAUAUGAGAACUAUGUGGUUGAAGAGGGUAUAUAUAUGGUACAUAUUUUUUCUUUUAUAUACAACUUCAUAGUGGUUGAAGAGAGAGCCGAAUAUGUCUGUUAGGCACAAGGAUUGUUAUGAUUUUGAAGAAAAUAUAGAAAUUGGGAUAAAUAUAUACCACAAAAUUAGGCAAAAUGAUAUAAAAGUUGAUGGCUUUUGAUAAAUUGUAUAGAUUAUAAACAUAAAUCUGGUUAUGCUUUUUUAACAAAGAAAAUGUAUUUUGGCAGUUAAUUAUGGCAAGUCUCUUUCAAUUAUUUUCUGAAAAGGAAGGAGAUGAAGAAACUUUUUUCCAUUGUAAAUGCCGGGUCAUCAUAUUUAUGUGCUUUUGAUGGCUACGAUAAUAUGAGCCAGAGAUGAAGGACCUAAGUA